rnacentral:lncRNA from 1 species
AUAAUUGCUUAUAUUUUGAUUCAUUCACAUCACAAUUAUUUGUAAUAUUUACAAUUUUUGGCUCUGUUAUACAAAUGUUGAAUAUAUUCAGAUAUACAUGUACAUGUAUCAUAUUCUGCCUAAUAAAUAGUAAAUAGAUGCAUUCAACUUAAAAACACAGAUUGUCUAAUGAAUUUUAUAUGUUAUAAGCAUGUUAUACAGGCAAGCAAGGAGCAGAUCCAGGGUUUAGGAAAACGGGCCCAUAAUUGUCAGAAAUUGUAAAAUUAUCUAAAAUUAACAGCAAGUGAAGCUGAUUCUUGGCAUCUAAUUUCUGAUCAAAAGGGGAAGAAAAAGGGGGGUUCACACUUCACGAUCCUCCCUCCUUGAAUCUAACAAUGUAAACAUUAUAUUUUUCAAUCCCCUAAAAAAAUCAAAAUGUCAUAUUUAAAAUGUUCACGAAAAUGUAGUUAACAAAUGUCAUUUCUUAUUUUGAAGAAGGCCGAUCACUAAUAAAUAUUUGUAAAAAAGAUAACAAUUUCUCUUGCCAGGUUCAAUCAGCAAUAUGAACAUUGUUAAACAGGCAAAAUCUCAGGGAAAAUACAAACACCCAUAUCCAAAGUAAUAAAAAGUCACCAAAACAUUUAGGGGCUCAUUAUAUUUUAUAAAAGUUCAUCCUUGUGGUUUUAUUUUGUUUUAAAAAUUCACCAUUGACAAAAAUAAACUUAUAACUGGAGGAAUUUAGAAUAUUUAUCAAUGAUAACUAAAUACUUCCCCUCAAAGCAAGUUCAUAAAAUAAGUCAAUAAAUUUUCAAACAAAACAAACCUUUAAAUAUGAUCAUGAUGAUGGAAACUUAUAUCAUGUGAUCAUCAUGUGAUACAGGGUAGUGAACCUAACUUGUUCUAAGUUUUUCUUGAAAAGUAUAAUGGUGGACAAUCCCUUACAUCACAAAAUUCAGUAGUGAUACACUGAGCUAACAGGUAACUAAGUGCAUGAAUCUUUACCAUGACACACAUGAUGAUUGUAUGUCAUUUUUUUCAGCUCUAUAUAAAAUGGGUAAAAACAUUUUUUUGUGAAAAUUAUGACAAUUUUUUUCCUCAGUAUGUGCUUAAAGAUGACAACAUGUUUUAAAGGGAGACAAAUCACACAUAUCAUCCAUUAACAAAGCAACAUCAUGCAAUUAUUAAGAUAUGUAUUGCUAAUGGGCAAAAACUAUCUUCUUGCAUGCUUACAAUUAUGAAAUACACAAUUUUUUAGGGGGCAAUUUUCGUAUGAAAGAAAGCUAUAGUAUACAUGUAUAUAAGAUUGUGGGAUAGCCAUUGCUCUAAAAAAAAAUGAUUUGACAAACAUCAUUUGACGGACAACCUAAUAAAAGUUGAUUUCUUUCAACUGUUCCAUAAGCAAAAUGAUUAGUACAGAUAUUAACACUACCUUUAAACACAUGGGUAUACACUGUCAAUCAGAUACCUGCUAUACAGCUAUAAAAAAGAUGUGGUAAAAUUGCCAAUGAGACAAAUCUCCAUAAGAGACCAAAUGACACAGACGUUAACAACUUUACAUUUGUAGGUCACCAUACGGCCUUCAACAAUGAGCAAAGCCCAUACCGCAUAGUUAAAUGUUUGCUAUCAUACUGAUACCCGCAGAGGAGUUUUGUUAAGGAAAUCAGUAGUACCCGAGUUUUACGUAAAUCAGUUUGUAAAUAGCCAGUUUGUGAAUUUAGAGAUAAUCAACAAGAAAAUCAUUUUGUUUUCAUUUAAAUAUGAAAAGAUGCAAAAAACCAUCAGAUUAUGUUGUUUCUACCCUUAUAUUUAAAGAGAAAUAACUCAAAAUGUUAAGAAUCUACCAUACGGCAUUGAAUAAAACAAUAUAUUUUCCUCUGAACAUCAUGAACAUAGUAUAUCCUCUGAUACAUGCAUAUGCCCGUAUGUUUUACGUAGAAAUUCUCAUAAUGGGAAAAACUUCAAAUAUUCUUUAUAUAACAUUUAUCCAUUUCUUGUGAACAUUGAAUUCAACUUAAAAGUUUUCACCAUUUAUAAAAGACUGAAUAAUUGUAUUUUUC